UACAGAGGUCUCAAGCGUUGUUCGGAUUCAUUGGGCGUAAAGGGUGCGUAGGCGGCGCGGUAAGUCGGGGUGUGAAAUCUUGGAGCUUAACUCCGAAACUGCAUUCGAUACUGCCGUGCUUGAGGACUGGAGAGGAGACUGGAAUUUACGGUGUAGCGGUGAAAUGCGUAGAUAUCGUAAGGAAGACCAGUGGCGAAGGCGGGUCUCGUGGACAGUUCCUGACGCUGAAGCACGAAGGCCAGGGGAGCAAACGGG
rnacentral:rRNA from 1 species